UACGUAGGGUGCGAGCGUUGUCCGGAAUUAUUGGGCGUAAAGAGCUCGUAGGCGGUGUGUCACGUCGUCCGUGAAAACCUGCAGCUUAACUGUGGGCGUGCGGUCGAUACGGGCAUCACUGGAGUUCGGCAGGGGAGACUGGAAUUCCUGGUGUAGCGGUGAAAUGCGCAGAUAUCAGGAGGAACACCGGUGGCGAGGGCGGGUCUCUGGGCCGAUACUGACGCUGAGGAGCGAAAGCGUGGGGAGCAAACAGG
rnacentral:rRNA from 1 species